UUGCUCUCCUUUUUUUUUUUUUUCAUUGCCUUUUUGUUGUUUGAAGAAUGUCAAUAUCACUUAUUGAAUUCCAGAAAUUAACUUAUUGGUUGGUUCAUCAGGAAUUUGUUUAAAAGCUCUUCCAGAGGGAAAAAUUCGUAAACUUCUACUCUAUUUAAUUUCUAUGAACCCAUUUCAUCCUUCGCUUUUCUUUUCAUCCUUUCCUUUUCCCUUUAUUCUGUCUUUUGAAAGUGAAAAUUGUGUCUUUCUUUCAUUUUUGUUUAGUGUUAACUGAUGCUUCUUUCUUGUUUUCCUUUCCAGAAAGGCUCUGGAGUGCCUGACCAACUCUCCUUGUUCGAAAGGUUGUCAUACUUUUGCAUCUAAAUGCAUGAUAUAUAGUCAAUUUGUUUUCCAAGCCCUCCCAUUUGGUAUUCGAAUAAUAUAACAAAUGUCAUUCAUGACUGCUUCAUUAUGAUUGGUCAUAUUUGAUAUAAUUUUGUUAACAUAAUAUUUCUGUGUAGAGCUUUAUUCAUUGCAUAUAAACUGUGGUGGAGGAGCAGUCACCAUUGGAGACAUUAGCUAUGAUGGAGAUGAAGAGGAUGGAGAGGCUACAAGAUAUGUUCACACAAAAGAAAAUUGGGAAGUUAGUACCACUGGACAUUUUUGGGAUGUGGAAAAAAAUUCCUCAAUUGCAUACAUAGCAGAAAAUGUAUCCACAUUAAGAAUGAGAAACUCUGAAUUGUACACAACAGCGCGUCUAUCGCCCCUCUCUCUCACAUACUAUGCACGUUGUUUAGCCAAUGGGAAUUACAAUGUGACGCUUCACUUUGCGGAGAUAAAAAUCAGAGAUAAUAGAUCCUUCCACAGUCUGGGAAGACGGAUAUUUGAUGUUUAUAUCCAGGAAAAACUUGUGUUGAAGGAUUUUGAUAUCCGAAAGGAAGCAGGAGGGGUAGAUAAGGUGACCAUUCAGAAUUUUAAAGUACUCGUUGUGGAUGGAGCUUUAGGGAUCCAGCUUCGUUGGGCUGGCAAAGGGACAACAGCUGUCCCAAUUAGAGGAACAUAUGGCCCUCUCAUAUCUGCAAUCGAUGUGGAAUCUGAAUUCAAGCCUCCUAUUCCUGGUGGAGGAACAAGGAAGAAACUCAUUGUGGCUGGAGCUGUAGUGUUGCCUUCGUUCCUCAUUCUUAUUGUUGUAGGCACUCUUUGGUGGAAGGGUUAUUUGGGAGGCAGGGCAGUAAAAGAACAAGAACUUUUAGGUUUAGAUCUGCAAACUGGUAUCUUCACCUUCAGACAAAUUAAAGCUGCUACUAACAACUUUGAUCCUGCUAAUAAAAUUGGAGAAGGUGGUUUUGGUUCUGUUUUUAAGGGAUGGAUUGAUGAGCAUUCAUUUACUGCUGCCAAGCCUGGAACUGGACUGGUUAUUGCUGUGAAAAGGCUUAACCUAGAGAGUUUCCAAGGGCACAAGGAGUGGUUGGCUGAAGUAAAUUAUCUGGGACAAUUUUAUCAUCCUCAUCUUGUGAAGCUGAUUGGUUACUGCUUAGAGGAUGAACACCGGCUUUUGGUGUACGAGUUCAUGCCUCGAGGCAGUUUGGAAAAUCAUUUAUUUAGGAGAGGAUCUUACUUCCAGCCUCUUUCUUGGAAUCUCCGCUUGAAGGUUGCUCUUGGCGCUGCGAAGGGGCUUGCAUUUCUUCAUAGUGAUGAAAAUAAAGUUAUAUAUCGGGACUUCAAGACUUCUAACAUUCUACUUGAUUCAAAAUACAAUGCAAAGCUCUCUGAUUUUGGGUUGGCCAAGGAUGGGCCAACAGGGAGUAAAAGCCAUGUUUCAACCCGAGUAAUGGGUACCUAUGGGUAUGCAGCACCAGAGUAUAUAGCCACAGGUCAUCUAACUGCGAAGAGUGACACAUACAGUUUCGGGGUUGUUCUUCUUGAAAUUUUAUCUGGCAGGCGAGCCAUAGACAAAAGCAAGCCUACCAGAGAACAAAAUUUAGUUGACUGGGCAAGGCAUUAUCUUGGCAGCAAACGCAAAGUUUUCCAAGUUAUGGAUGCACGACUUGAAGGCCAGUAUUCAUUAAAAGAUGCACUAAAAGCAGCUAAUCUUGCAGUCCAGUGCCUAUCAACAGAGCCAAGGUUUAGGCCUAAUGUGGAAGAACUGGUAAAAGAAUUGGAACAAUUGCUUGAGUCCAAUGACAAUAAUGGAUCCAGGGGCUCUCAAAGUGAAAACCCCCGAAAAGUUAAUCGAAAUUCAAGCAAUGGUCCUAAAUAUCGAAGGAGAAAUGCCAAGGAAAUUUCUGAUGGAAAAGCUGCCAGUUAUCCAAGGCCAUCUGCUUCUCCUCUUCAUACAUAAGAAAGUAAAUUUUGUGCUCUUUUACUACUCAUCUAUCUGAAGAAUUACACAUUGCAUCGUACGAGUACACGCAGUAUGUAACAUAACAAUCUGUUGUUGUACAGUUCUUCAAUUCCGUAACAUCUAAAUUUGACAUUUCUUUGAUGUAUUUUCAUUUUGGCAUUUGGUGGUGAUAAACAUGGAACUUCUGUAAUUGUCAACAAACUUGUUAGCAGCACAAUUUGACGGAUGAGGUGCCUCUGCACGCUGAUAAUUAAUAACAUAAAUGUAUAUGACAGAAUUAUCAGGGUUCUUAAUCUAUAUUUGUCAAUAAUUUAUUCAAUUCGUUUUAGUUUUCUUAAGAAAAUAUGUAACCAAGGUCCAGUGUAAAGAGUUUGUAUCCCUUAAACAAUGUUGAAUGUUCG
rnacentral:misc_RNA from 1 species